rnacentral:lncRNA from 1 species
UUGGCUUCUGCUCCCGUGUCUAUCAUUGGGGUAUAAUAUCUGUUAUAAUAAUUUUCUAUUAUUAUUUUUGCAAGUAUAUAUAUUUUCAUAUUGUCCUUUUUAUUACUACUUUCUUCUUUUUAUAGGUUAUAGCUAGUUGUGUAUUUUGUAGAUUAUAUGGUUUCAUUUCUUCUAACCAUUUUAUUCCUAGUGUAAUAUUCUUAUUUCCUUGGUAGAUUUUGAAUUUUAUUAACAUUAAUAUUCCUCCAAUAUUAUUUAUUUUUCUAUUGUUUCUUCAGAAUUUAAUAAUAAUUUUGGUAAAUCUGGACAUGUUUGUUCUUUAGAG